rnacentral:rRNA from 1 species
UACGGAGGGUGCAAGCGUUAAUCGGAAUUACUGGGCGUAAAGGGUGUGUAGGCGGUUGUUUAAGUUUGGUGUGAAAUCUCCCGGCUCAACUGGGAGGGUGCGCCGAAUACUGAAUGACUAGAGUGCGGGAGAGGAAAGUGGAAUUCCUGGUGUAGCGGUGAAAUGCGUAGAUAUCAGGAGGAACACCGGUGGUGUAGACGGCUUUCUGGACCGUAACUGACGCUGAGACACGAAAGCGUGGGUAGCAAACAGG